CCGUAGCAAAAAUCUCAUUGAGCUUCCAUGAAUCAGGGACAGGAGAAGGUUUAACUCUGUCCUUCGAGAUAGUCAUGAUAGUUCCAUCAUUAAGGAUUGCGAUAAUCAAAACCAUGAAAGGUGCAAAAUCAAAUCGCCAUAUCAAAGCCACAAGCAUGAAUCCCAAAACAAUACGAAUGGUGAUGGAGACAGCAUAGAUCGUGUAGUUCUUCAUCCUCUGGAAGAUUGCACGACUUGUAAGAACGGCACUCACUAUCACGCUUAGUCCAGGUUCCGUUAGCACAAUGUCAGAGGCGCUUCUUGCCGCAUCAGUUGCAUCAGCCACAGCGAUUCCAAUAUCUGCUUUCUUCAAAGCUGGAGCGUCGUUUACGCCAUCUCCAGUCAUCCCACAAAUGUGCUUCCUCUCUUGAAGCUUCUUUACAAUCUCAUACUUGUGCUCUGUGUAAGCCAAAUGAAAAAAAUUUAUAUAUAUAUAUAUAUAUAUAUAUUUUUUUUUUCUUGUUGAAUAUUUAAAUUUGACUAGAACAUAUAAUCUAUAGUUUGCGAUAGUGUGGUAUACUAGUUAAAAAAACAUUCGAAUUUAUAUAUAUUACCAGGGAAAACUCCAGCAAAUCCAUCAGCUUUCUCAAUGAGCUCAUCGACAGGGAUCCCAACUAAUGAUUCAUCCUUUGAAUUUCCAAGGAGUGAAGUGGAUGGGUACAUAUUUGUUCCCAUACCAAGCCUACGCCCGGUCUCUAUUCCAAUGGCAAGUUGGUCACCAGUAAUCAUUUUAACGUUGACACCAAGCUCAAGGGCUCGUCUGAUCGUUUCUGCACUAUCAUGUCUUGGGGGAUCAAACAGUGGCAAUAGACCAAUAAACUCCCAUGGACUACCAUCGCUUUCCUUGCUCUUUUCAGGUACAGUCUACAUUUGAACACAAACGAAUGUAAAAGAAAAAAAAUACAAUUGUAAAAACGAUUUUUAAGUGAUGAGUGUUUCUGUUACAUACUUGUUGAGCAACUCCAAGAGAACGAAGCCCACGUUCAGCAAAACCAUCAAUCACUUCAUGAGCUUUUCUUCUAGCCUCUCCUUGGAGAUUGCAGAGUUCAAUGAUCUUAAAAAAAAAAAGGUGGUAUUAGGUAAAAGAGAAAACAUAUAAUAAGUUUCACUAAUAUAGAUCUUAGUUUCUAUUACUUGCUCAGGAGCUCCUUUGCUGCUCCGAUACCAUUCUCCAUUUUCAUCAAUGUAUGUAAUGGCUGUACGUUUAUCGACAGGGUUAAAAGGCAAGAAAUGCACCUCUUUGAUUCCUUCUCUCGCCUAGUGAUCACAUCGUGAUUAGUUGCAAAAUAAGGAUAAAGAGUUGACCAAAAUCAACCAAGUUUCACAAAAAGAAGUACCUCUUUUGGAUCACCCAACAUGCCAACAAUGGAUGCAUCAAUGGCGUCUUGGUUUUCGAUUCUAGACGCUCUUGCAGCCAUCAAUACAACUGCAUCGGUAUCCAAGUUACUUGGAAAUACUUCAAUCAAUGACUUGUCUACGGAGAGCUUGUUAAGAGUGAGAGUCCCUGUCUUAUCACUGCAGAGAACAUCCAUUCCAGCCAUUUCUUCAAUCGCAGUCAUCCUCUUGGUGAUGGCACCUUGUUGAGAGAGUCUAUGUGAUCCAAUAGCCAUUGUUACCGACAAAACUGUUGGCAUGGCGAUUGGGAUUCCUCCAAUCAAAAGCACCAAAAGAUUAUCAAUACCGUCUCUAUAUGUGCGGUGUUGAAUAGGGUACAUUACUACGAUCUCAAUCAACAUCCCAAUUCCAAUUGAGCAAAUACAGAAGUUACCAAUAGCUGUCAAAACCUGAACAAAAGCCAACAAAAAAAUAUGUUUGUGAGAAUGUAGGCUGACGGUUGCAUCAUCUAACUGUUGUUCGUUUCUGAAAUUAGUUUCUUACCUUUUGGAAGUGGCCAACGUUGUUGGUACUGUCGACAAGAUGGGCAGCCUUACCGAAGAAAGUGUGGACACCAGUGGCUAUGACAACGGCCUCAAUCUCACCUUGUUUGCAAGUUGAACCCGAGAAUACUUCAUCUCCAGGGUGUUUGGUGACUGGAAGAGAUUCACCGGUGAGAGCAGAUUGGUCAAUUUUCAGAGGAUCUCCUUGGAGGAGACGAGCAUCAGCAGGGACAAUGUCACCCAGUUUGACGCUUAUUAGAUCACCUGGAACUAGAAUUGAAGCGUCUUGCUCUCCCCAUUUUCCAUCUCUCAACACCUACAUUGCAUUAAAGCUCCUUUUUAAGAAUAUUUUAUAUUGAAAAAUAAGUGUAGUAGGGGAAUAUAAUUGAUAUCAUAUUGUAUCCUACUUACGCUGAAGAAAUUAGUAUCAUGAGCUAGCCAGAAAAAGAGAACUGUGGUAAGAGCCAUGUAGGUUCCUAGCACAACACCCGUAGCAAAAAUCUCAUUGAGCUUCCAUGAAUCAGGGACAGGAGAAGGUUUAACUCUGUCCUUCGAGAUAGUCAUGAUAGUUCCAUCAUUAAGGAUUGCGAUAAUCAAAACCAUGAAAGGUGCAAAAUCAAAUCGCCAUAUCAAAGCCACAAGCAUGAAUCCCAAAACAAUACGAAUGGUGAUGGAGACAGCAUAGAUCGUGUAGUUCUUCAUCCUCUGGAAGAUUGCACGACUUGUAAG
rnacentral:lncRNA from 1 species